UACGAAGGGGGCUAGCGUUGUUCGGAAUUACUGGGCGUAAAGCGCACGUAGGCGGAUUGUUAAGUGAGGGGUGAAAUCCCAGGGCUCAACCCUGGAACUGCCUUUCAUACUGGCAAUCUCGAGUCCGAGAGAGGUGAGUGGAAUUCCGAGUGUAGAGGUGAAAAUUCGUAGAUAUUCGGAGGAACACCAGUGGCGAAGGCGGCUCACUGGCUCGGUACUGACGCUGAGGUGCGAAAGCGUGGGGAGCAAAC
rnacentral:rRNA from 1 species